UACGUAGGUGGCAAGCGUUGUCCGGAAUUACUGGGCGUAAAGCGCGGGUAGGCGGCUUGGUGCGUCCUGCGUGAAAGGGUCCGGCUCAACCGGGCCAGGGCGCGGGAGACGGCCAGGCUGGAGGGCAGCAGAGGCAGGUGGAGUUCCCGGUGUAGUGGUGAAAUGCGCAGAUAUCGGGAGGAACACCUAUGGCGAAGGCAGUCUGCUGCAGUCACACUGACGCUGAGGCUCGAAGGUGCGGGGAUCAAACAGGAUUAGAUACCCGAGUAGU
rnacentral:rRNA from 1 species